UACGUAGGGUGCGAGCGUUAAUCGGAAUUACUGGGCGUAAAGCGUGCGCAGGCGGUCCGCAAAGUCUGAUGUGAAAGCCCCGGGCUCAACCUGGGAACUGCAUUGGAAACUAACGGGCUCGAGUGUGGCAGAGGGGGGUGGAAUUCCACGUGUAGUGGUGAAAUACGUAGAGAUUGGGAAGAACACCAGUGGCGAAGGCGGCUAUCUGGACGGUUUCUGACGCUAAGACGCGAAAGCGUGGGGAGCAAACAGG
rnacentral:rRNA from 1 species